GUGAAUAGUUUUAACGGCCGCGGUACCCUGACCGUGCAAAGGUAGCAUAAUCAUUUGCCUUAUAAUUGAAGGCUGGCAUGAAUGGUCUGACGAGAGCAAUACUGUCUCCCCUUUAUUAUCUAGAAAUUAACUUAUAGGUGAAGAGGCCUAUAUUGUAUUGAAGGACAAGAAGACCCUGUCGAGCUUAAAAGAAAAGUAGGAGUUAGCUAUUGAGAGAAAUCAAUGAACUACAUAGCUUUUUAGUUGGGGCGACUAAGGAACAGAUAAAGCUUCUUUUAUUUUUAUGGAUUUAUAGAUUUAGAUCCAGCAGAGCUGAUCAAAGGAAUUAGUUACCGCAGGGAUAACAGCAUAAUCUCCUUUGAGAGACCAAAUCGAAAAGGGGGGUUGUGACCUCGAUGUUGGACUAGAAUAUCCUGAAGAUGCAGACGUCUUCGAGGGUUGGUCUGUUCGACCAUUAAAAUUCUACGU
rnacentral:rRNA from 1 species